rnacentral:rRNA from 1 species
CAGCCCCUCGAGUGGUGGGGAUGAUUAUUUGGCCUAAAGCGUCCGUAGCCGGCCGAGCAAGUCUUCCGUUAAAUCCAGCGUCUCAAGCGUUGGACCGCGGGAGAUACUACACGGCUAGAGAGUGGGAGAGGUCAGCGGUAUUCUGGGGGUAGGGGCGAAAUCCUUUGAUCCCCGGAGGACCACCAGUGGCGAAGGCUGCUGACUAGAACACGUCUGACGGUCAGGGACGAAAGCUGGGGUAGCGAACCGGAUUAGAGACCCGCGUAGUCC